AAGCACUGCAUGCUAAGUAUAAGCAAUCUAUACUGUGAAACUGCGAACGGCUCAUUAAAUCAGUUAUCGUUUAUUUGAUAGUACCUUACUACUCGGAUAACCGUGGUAAUCCUAGAGCUAAUACAUGCUAAAAACCCCGACUUCGGAAGGGGUGUAUUUAUUAGAUAAAAAACCAAUGCCCUUCGGGGCUCCUUGGUGAAUCAUGAUAACUUAACGAAUCGCAUGGCCUUGCGCCGGCGAUGGUUCAUUCAAAUUUCUGCCCUAUCAACUUUCGAUUGUAGGAUAGUGGCCUACAAUGGUUUCAACGGGUAACGGGGAAUUAGGGUUCUAUUCCGGAGAGGGAGCCUGAGAAACGGCUACCACAUCCAAGGAAGGCAGCAGGCGCGCAAAUUACCCAAUCCCGAUACGGGGAGGUAGUGACAAUAAAUACUGAUACAGGGCUCUUUUGGGUCUUGUAAUUGGAAUGAGUACAAUUUAAAUACCUUAACGAGGAACAAUUGGAGGGCAAGUCUGGUGCCAGCAGCCGCGGUAAUUCCAGCUCCAAUAGCGUAUAUUAAAGUUGUUGCAGUUAAAAAGCUCGUAGUUGAACCUUGGGCCUGGCUGGCCGGUCUGCCUCACCGCAUGUACUGGUUCGGCCGGGUCUUUCCUCCUGGGGAUCCGCAUGCCCUUCACUGGGUGUGUUGGGGAACCAGGACUUUUACUUUGAAAAAAUUAGAGUGUUCAAAGCAGGCCUUUGCUCGAAUACAUUAGCAUGGAAUAAUAGAAUAGGACGUGCGGUCCUAUUUUGUUGGUUUCUAGGACCGCCGUAAUGAUUAAUAGGGAUAGUCGGGGGCAUCAGUAUUCAGUUGUCAGAGGUGAAAUUCUUGGAUUUACUGAAGACUAACUACUGCGAAAGCAUUUGCCAAGGAUGUUUUCAUUAAUCAGUGAACGAAAGUUAGGGGAUCGAAGACGAUCAGAUACCGUCGUAGUCUUAACCGUAAACUAUGCCGACUAGGGAUCGGGCGAUGUUAUUCUUUUGACUCGCUCGGCACCUUACGAGAAAUCAAAUCUUGGGUUGCGGGGGGAGAU
rnacentral:rRNA from 1 species